GUGAGGAAUAUUGGACAAUGGGCGCAAGCCUGAUCCAGCCAUGUCGCGUGCAGGAAGACGCAUCUAUGGUGUGUAAACUGCUUUUGUACGGGAAGAAACACUCCCUCGUGAGGGAGCUUGACGGUACCGUAAGAAUAAGGAUCGGCUAACUCCGUGCCAGCAGCCGCGGUAAUACGGAGGAUCCAAGCGUUAUCCGGAAUCAUUGGGUUUAAAGGGUCCGUAGGCGGUGUAAUAAGUCAGUGGUGAAAGCCCAUCGCUCAACGAUGGAACGGCCAUUGAUACUGUUAGACUUGAAUUACAAGGAAGUAACUAGAAUAUGUAGUGUAGCGGUGAAAUGCUUAGAUAUUACAUGGAAUACCAAUUGCGAAGGCAGGUUACUACUUGUGGAUUGACGCUGAUGGACGAAAGCGUGGGGAGCGAACAGGAUUAGAAACCCGGGUAGUCC
rnacentral:rRNA from 1 species